AUUGAACGCUGGCGGCAGGCUUAACACAUGCAAGUCGAGCGAGCGGCGGACGGGUGAGUAAUGUCUGGGAAACUGCCUGAUGGAGGGGGAUAACUACUGGAAACGGUAGCUAAUACCGCAUACCAUCAGAUGUGCCCAGAUGGGAUUAGCUAGUAGGUGGGGUAAUGGCUCACCUAGGCGACGAUCCCUAGCUGGUCUGAGAGGAUGACCAGCCACACUGGAACUGAGAAACGGUCCAGACUCCUACGGGAGGCAGCAGUGGGGAAUAUUGCAAAAUGGGCGGAAGGCUGAUGCAGCCAUGCCGGGUUGGUUAAGAAGGCCUUCGGGUUGUAAAGCUCUUUCAGCGGGGAGGCGGUACUCGCAGAAGAAGCACCGGCUAACUCCGGGCCAGCAGCCGCGGUAAUAC
rnacentral:rRNA from 1 species